UACGUAGGGCGCAAGCGUUGUCCGGAAUUACUGGGCGUAAAGGGCGCGUAGGCGGUCCGAUAAGUCCUGUGUGAAAUCCCUCGGCUCAACUGAGGAACUGCACGGGAGGCUGCCGGGCUUGAGUUCGGGAGAGGGAAGCGGAAUUCCGGGUGUAGCGGUGAAAUGCGUAGAUAUCCGGAGGAACACCGGUGGCGAAGGCGGCUUCCUGGACCGACACUGACGCUGAGGCGCGAAAGCGAGGGGAGCAAACGGG
rnacentral:rRNA from 1 species